rnacentral:tmRNA from 1 species
ACACUUGCGUUUUAUUAAUGACUGUGUUAUAAUGAACUUGUCAGUUUUAAGCUGACUAUAAUGCUAAACGAAAAACGGCAUAGAUGUUGUGGACUCGGGGGCGGUACCCGACACCUCCACCAUUUUAAUGGUCGUCUAUUGUUUUUGAUUUCAACUAGUGUACUAAAAAUGUACACAGCGUUUCAUCAAAAAUUAAUAUCCGACUCAUUAAAAUCCAGUUAAUGGGAUGGGUGUUUUUUGUUGCGACUUGUGUACUAAAAAUGUACACGGCGUCUUACAAAAAAGCGAUAUCUAUCUUGUUAAAUUUAACAAGUGCCUGACGUCUCGCUGAAUUUUUUGCGUAUGUUUAAUACACGUCAAAAUUCAUCAAAGCGCCAUUUAUCUUGUUAAAACUGUUGGUAAAACUUAUGGGGGUGAACUAGGAUCGACACGCAUAGUAAAGGUUUCUUCUUGCAUUCGGUAUGGUACCACCGUUAUCGGGCUGAAAAAUAUAAACGCAAAUGAUAAUUUUGCUCCGGUCGCUAUGGCCGCUUAAUUUUAGGCGUCCUAUGACCAUCAAUUACUGACCAAUAUGAGCGGUUAGGUGGGGGCGGGGGUUCCCUAGCAACAGAAAUCCCCCACU